rnacentral:rRNA from 1 species
GAUGAACGCUGGCGGCGUGCCUAAUACAUGCAAGUCGAGCGAACGGACGAGAAGCUUGCUUCUCUGAUGUUAGCGGCGGACGGGUGAGUAACACGUGGAUAACCUACCUAUAAGACUGGGAUAACUUCGGGAAACCGGAGCUAAUACCGGAUAAUAUUUUGAACCGCAUGGUUCAAAAGUGAAAGACGGUUUUGCUGUCACUUAUAGAUGGAUCCGCGCUGCAUUAGCUAGUUGGUAAGGUAACGGCUUACCAAGGCAACGAUGCAUAGCCGACCUGAGAGGGUGAUCGGCCACACUGGAACUGAGACACGGUCCAGACUCCUACGGGAGGCAGCAGUAGGGAAUCUUCCGCAAUGGGCGAAAGCCUGACGGAGCAACGCCGCGUGAGUGAUGAAGGUCUUCGGAUCGUAAAACUCUGUUAUUGGGGAAGAACAUAUGUGUAAGUAACUGUGCACAUCUUGACGGUACCUAAUCAGAAAGCCACGGCUAACUACGUG